rnacentral:rRNA from 1 species
UACGUAGGGUGCAAGCGUUGUCCGGAAUUAUUGGGCGUAAAGAGCUCGUAGGCGGUUCGUCGCGUCGGCUGUGAAAUCCCGAGGCUCAACCUCGGGUCUGCAGUCGAUACGGGCGGACUGGAGUUCGGCAGGGGAGACUGGAAUUCCUGGUGUAGCGGUGAAAUGCGCAGAUAUCAGGAGGAACACCAGUGGCGAAGGCGGUCAACUGGCACGAAACUGACGCUGAGGCACGAAAGCGUGGGUAGCGAACAGG